UGCGAAGCUGAGCAUCCCUCCUCUGGCUCCAGUAAUUGGCUCCCUGGGCAGUCUGUUCCUUUCUCUCCACUAAAUUAAGCUCCUUCUCUUCGGGUCUUGAUUGUUAAAACACCCUAUUUGCCCAUGCCAUUUACAUAUUCCAAUUACCCACUGCCAUUUCCCUGCUAAUGAGCCCAUGUACCUGCGUUCAAGAGCCUCUGGCCCCGAGCCUGCUUGUGCAGGAGGGCUGAACGUGGCAGGCAAAGGCUAUUCAUCGUGUCUUCAGACGAGCAGUGCCGAGGCUGUUUUCUCACCUUCUUCUCUCCCUGCUGGACCAACUCUCCACAUAGCAGACCUUUGUGCCUCAUUACCUGCCCCCACAGACAUCACGAUGCCUUUACCUUAGUGACAAGAAGGAAAGCUCCAUGCCAACUGGAGAAGGGCUCCGUGUUCUUAUUGCGAUCAUAAAAGGCCCAUUGUACCCUUAGACAAUUACAUGCGCAGAGCCCAUUAAGUCCAAGGUCUUCCUAAUUUCCAUCACUGAAUUCUUCACAGAGGGGAAGCAGAUGCUUGGGUGCUAAGUAACUGGACACAGGAUAAUGAGUGGCUGCACAAUGAUGCUGAAUGGGGAGAACUCCGGCUUUGAGACAGCCUGCUCUGGGCAGGAAUCCUGUCUCUGAAAACAUUCAGAUUUUCCCCCAAGGCCCAGAAGAUGGUGUCCCCAUAUUGGAAACUUCUUCUUCAUGAUGAUAACAUUUUCCCCAGGCUCUGGGAGUGGAAGUCCCAGCCACGGUUUGCAAACUCCUGUGCCCAUGGGGACCAGGCAGGUGACAUAAAGCCGUGGAGUUUAUGUAAAGUGUAGUGCACAGCACCUAACACAAGAGGGCGCAGUUCAUAAAGGGACGUGGCAAGAAUGGUUGCGAUGAUGAUAAUGAAAAAGAAGAGGAAGAACAAAAAGAAUGAAGAGAAAGAAGAGGACGCUCUUGGGCCCCAGUUCUAGAGCGGCAGUGGUCCUCCUCUAUCUGAUCCCCAUGUCCCAGGUUUCAUAAAGGACCACACAAGGACACAGCCCUAUUCUAGGGGGAGGAUCCCUGUUCUGUGAUUUUGUACCUCCCACUCAGGUGUCAAGCUUUCUCUGUAGGUGACAUUCCAAGUGAUUGUCAGCAUCAACUGGAAACCCUCCUUCUUCAUUUUUGGUGGUUUGCCGUAAAGCAUUUUUCCUAUUAAAUAUUUGUGGCAAAAAUAAGAAUAAAACAAGACAUUAAAAUAAUCCAUUAAAUACCAUAUAUUGUUCACAUGUCCCAUUCUAUAGCUGUUAUCUUCUUUGAGUUUAAAAUAUUUUUCAAAACUCCUCGAGUAAGACCAACGUUCAGGAUGAUGUGCCAUUGGUAUCCUGUCAUAUCCAAGCAUAGUUCUGCAAACCCAAAGGGCUACACAUGCCUGAUUUAUGAAACAUGUUCCUCAACUGACUUUUAGUGGCCAGCAUCCAUUUAACACUCCAGGAGAGGGUAGAUAUCUCCACGAGGGUCCCCCCACUAUUGGAAGAUUAUGUCCCAAAACCAAGCAUCAGAGUGAGUUCAUUUACAAACUUAACCUUUGGCUGGCCAGCCACAUCUUCUUUCACUUCUGGAAAAGGGGUCAAAUGCUCACAACAGAUAUCGGUAUGGAAAAGACUCUGGCUCCUGUAUGUUUGCAUCGUGCCUCUGUG
rnacentral:lncRNA from 1 species